rnacentral:misc_RNA from 1 species
CCAGCAUAUAUUAUCGCGCCAUCCCUUGCCUUAGCCAGAAAGAAACAAGAGAACCGGCCACACACGGGAUAGAUUCGGCACGAGAUCUCACAUUUGGGCAUCCUGGUGUUCCUCCUGGCCGCGCCCCCGGCGGCCGCAUCCCCGGAUCCGCCGUUGCUUGUUCCAACCGCGUGGCUGCUCAUCUCGCCGGCCACCACGAACACGCCGCCCCAGGAGCCAAGACCACCUCACGGAAGCCGCCGCAGGGACUGGCGGCGCGGAUUGGUCUUCCCGGCCGCCGUGAGAGGACGCUUCUCCCCGCCAGAGCAGCGCCGAUGGGGGAAACGAGGAGCUUCUCCGCGAUCUAGCUUGAUGCUACC